CGUUUUCUAUGAUGAGGCCCUGGAAUGUGUGCUGAAUACAGCACCAAGUAAGAUGCAGAAGCAUUCCUUGUUGCCUUCCCAGAAAAAAAA